rnacentral:antisense_RNA from 1 species
CGUGUGCUCUGGCGAUUGCAUCCCACGCAGGCAGCUCCCUUCUGUACAAGCAAAGUGGUCUCGCUGAGAAAUUUUCUAAGUGCUGGUUUCUCUUUGCGGAACCGGCUCGCCGCCCCCAAAUAUCCCAUUUGGAUCCCAUUCUCUUUCAGGCGAGGCUGGCGGUUACCUUUCUUGGGGAGACGCGUCCGACUGCUUCAUUGUGGGAGCCUCAGGAGCGGAGGAUCGGGUCCCGCCCGAGGUGACGCGUAAACCCGGACUCUCAGCAACGCGGGUAAGAAGGACCCUUGAAGUUCCGCGGCGACCACGUCGGCUGAAACCAGUAGCCCAGGACAAGUGGACCAGCCAGCAAGACCCAGACCAUCCAAACUGGCUGAUCCUACGACAGGACCCAGGUGCCAGUGAAAGUGACCACAGCCCUGCUCUGGUCACUCCGGAAGCUGACCAGUCCACGCACAGCCGAAGCUUCAUCAAGGAAGUAAAUGUAGUUAGAAAUCUUAAGCCCAGUAAUUUUCCUUGUCAUCUUAAUUGUUUUACUAUUAACCUGUCGCUUUGCUCAACCCCCUCCUCUGGGCAAACGUCUCUUGUCCAUUCUAGGUACAAACAUGCUACUCUUUCCUUUGUUCUUGCAGCUCUCGCUAUCCAUGUUAGAAGGAAGGAUAUGCGGAGAGUUUAAUUUAACUAAUUGUUGCCUAAAGAUCGAUGACAAUGAGGAGGACGUC